rnacentral:rRNA from 1 species
AUUGAACGCUGGCGGUAGGCCUAACACAUGCAAGUCGAGCGGCAGCAGGGUACUUGCUCCUGGUUACAGCGGCGGACGGGCGGGUAAGGCCGAGGAAUAUCCGUGGCUGUGGUGGAGAGGGUCAGGACAUGGGGGCACAUACGGCAUAAGCCCAGACGACCUAAGGGGGGGAGCUGCGGAUCUUACGAUAUCGGACGAGUCAAGGACGCGAUGUCGGAUUAGCGAGGUGGAGGGGUAAAGGCCCACCAAGGCGACGAUCCGUAGCUGGUCUGAGAGGAUGAUCAGUCACACUGGAACUGAGACACGGUCCAGACUCCUACGGGAGGCAGCAGUGGGGAAUAUUGGACAAUGGGCGAAAGCCUGAUCCAGCCAUGCCGCGUGUGUGAAGAAGGUCUUCGGAUUGUAAAGCCCUUUUAUUUGGGAAGAAAAGCAGUAAGUUAAUACCUUGCUGUUUUGACGUUACCAACAGAAUAAGCACCGGCUAACUUCGUG